AGUUUUAUUUUAUAACUUGUCAUACGAUUCAUAAUAUAAUUACUAUCUGAUAAACAAUUCAACAUAAUUGUAUUGGUGCAAUUAACGGUACACACGUUGAUGCCCGAAUACCCAACCACGAGAAGGUUGCAUACAUCGGUCGGAGUGGUUUGACAACUCAGAAUGUCAUGGUUGUAUGCGACUUCAACAUGUGCUUUACUUUUGUAGUGGCGGGAUGGGAAGGGAGUGCACAUGACAGUCGGAUUUUCUCAUUUGCCACUCGGAAUAGAUCGCAAUGUUUUCCUCACCCCCCAUCAGGAAAAUACUAUUUGGUUGAUGCCGGGUAUCCUAUGCAAAGGGGAUACCUGAAGCCUUAUCCUGACACAAGAUAUCAUCUUCCUGAUUUUGCGAGAGCGAGUGGCACCAUCCGUGGUAGAAAGGAAAUGUUUAAUAAACGUCACUCAUCUUUACGCGGGGUAAUUGAAAGAACAUUUGGGGUUUGGAAGAAGAAAUGGGUCAUCCUACGCGAUAUGCCGUCGUAUCCUUUCCAAAAGCAGGUGCAUAUUGUGGUUGCAACAAUGGCACUACAUAACUUCAUCCGAAGACAUGCCUCACGAUUAGAUACAGAUUUUAGUAUGGCUGACAACGACGAACUGAAUGUCUUCGAUCAAACUCCUGAAAUUGUGGCUGGUAGUUCAUUACCUGAGGAUGAUGUAGACUCUAAUGAUUUUGGAGAUCAGGAGGGUGAAGGUUUGGCUGAUAUGAUUGCUUUAAGGGAGUCUAUUACAGAUGCUAUUUGUGGCUGUUGAUCUACCAAGUUUGACUUUAAUAAAGUUAUAGUUAAACAAACAUGACUUCCAGGAUAUCAGGUAUGGACAGAGAGAUUUUGUGUUAUUGUGGACUACCGUCUCCGUUGCUAACGUCACGUAAGGAGCGUAGCUUUGGGAGGCAGUUCUAUGGUUGUGCCAGAGGUGUUUCAGCUCGUUGCGGUUUCUUCAGGUGGGCUGAUAGUCCCACAUAUUACACCGCCAGUAAUUAUGCCAGCAGUCAUGUGAAUCCGAUGUUUUCUCAGGCUGACUGUGCAGUUGAAGACCGAUGUAGCCAGAGUCUGAAGUUAAAUAUUUUAAUAUUUCUCCUUGUUGUUGUACUUGUAUUUGUACUUUUUUCAGUUCUACUGGUACUCGUUAAGAUGUGAGAACUGUAUGUUAUCUUUUAGAACUUGUCUAUCAUUAUCGUAUGUUUCUGCAACAUAUGUUUCUUUUCUACGAAUAAGUUAUUCUAAAUAAGCUGCCCCAAACAGUUUUAUCACAUAGGGGCAGUAAUGUCAUUUAACCACCAAUA